GUCGCUUGAUAAGCCCAAUCGAGGAACAAAUCGUUCGAUGUUUCGAGCCCAUGAGGAGUUCGCCACCUGAGUCCUCCGAGUCCGACGCGAAGAAACGCGAUCGCGGGCGACGGCGACGUGCGACGAUCAAGGUUGAGAAAUACUUACCACCAAUUCUGAGAAGUUCCUCCACCGUGCCAGGUAUAUAGGUUAAUGGCAAGCAAAAUAAAGGAUCUCCAGAAAAAAACUUGCGGAGUGGAAUAGAACAUACAAAUUUUUUUGUGCGACUGGUCCCUUGGACAACAAGAUUUGUCAUAUUUCCAAUGAGGUCAUCUUCCCUGAAGUUUGGUAUCACUGCUCCUAUCCAGGUUCUUUUUGGGUCAGGGUAUCGGUCGGCAAUCAUAUAGUUAAAGCAUCCAGAACAAUGAACUGCAAAAAUAGUUACCUGCGUUACAAAAAAGUUAUUCUUUUAGAAAUCAAGCAGCUUUUUGAAGCAAGACAAAUUGAAUACCAUUCUGAAAGCUUACUGAGAAAAGUUUUGUGCACCGUGUCCAGAAAUAAUUGAACCGAAUAUCCUUCUCAAGCCUGAGGAAAGAAAAUUAAUGAGAUUGUUCCUGUUCUUCUAUUUGUGAUAUAUGUACUGAGAAAUGGGAGAAGAUACAGACCUAGCAAACAGAGAACCGACACGACGCAGACGCCACAGUCUAAGCAUACUCAGAAGUUUGAAGCUGAGACUAUUACCAUGUCUAUUGUAGGAGAAGCUGAUUGUUUGAAUGGGAUAUGUUGAACAUGCAUCAAAGAUGAACCAAGUAGAUAGAUACCUGUGUAAUAUUUUGUCAUGGAAUUUGGACUAAAUAGCAAAGUAUGUAUUAGUACUUUGGAGAAAUAAAAGGUAAACACUGACCUGACUGCUAUUCUCUUUGGAUCAUCAACAAGAAGACAGGAUUUGUGAUCCAUGAAAGCAACAAAGAAUGUGAGUACAAUGUCGAUUGCAAAAAAGCUAUCGACAAUGUUAUCCACAAGAAAAAUUUUGCUUGGCAAGUAUCGUAGAAAUGCAAACUCAAAUGGGCAGAUCCAGGCGGAGUAGAGAACCAGAAAUAUCAAGAACAACUCCCAUAGUCUGGAAAGCAGUUAGUGAAAAGAGAAGAAAAUAAACUGUCCAGUUUUCUAAAAUAUGAAUGUGAGAAAACAGACUGAUGGGUCAAUAUACCUGUAACGAGGAUCAUAUGGGGAGACAAUGUGCUUCCUGAGUUUGGUUGUAUGGUUUAUUGUUGCUCCAAGUGAUGGCAAAAGGUCAUCAUGUAAGUUGAAUCCUCCACUUUCCAAUUGGAAACCAUCAUUGCAAAAAUGUUGUAAGUAGUUCAUGCAAGAGAACAUGGUUGCAAUGUGAUGCUUUUGUAGUUUGAUAUUCGGUGGUGAUCGAACUCGAGUGAUCUACUAUAUAUAUAAGAAAGUGAAGGCUGCUGUCUGUCUGGUGUCUUGAGCAAAUGGGCUGGUUGGUAAAUGCAGAGCGAGGUUUGGAUGAGGAAAAAGGUCAUGAGAAGGGAAAAAGCGUAAUAGAGAACUUGGAUUUAAUCACUAGGAUCAAAAGAUUUGCAGAUUGUGUGAUAAAUUAUAAAGGUUAGAGAUUUGAUAUUCUGGAAACAAUGGGCAAUAGUUUCAUGCCAAGUUCACAAGGUUUAUGGUAGUGGGAAUUCCAAUUACACACGUCUGAAGUGGAUGGAUUUUUUACAAAAUCGAUGUGAAGUCUUGGUUUAAAAUGGACAUAGAUGAUCGAAACAGCUGAAUCAUAUCGAAGCCCUAUGACUCAAAGUUACUUUGAAAUUAAUUAAGGAAAUGACUCUUGGCUUUUUGUGGGGCUAGUGCCUUUUGUAAACAGUAAAGUCACUGUUUUGGGUUUGCUUGAACCCAUGCCCUUCCAGUGCCAACAGAGGAUCUGCUGUGUUCAAGCACCACUUUUGGGAUGAUGCAUGUCUGGUCCGUGAAUGUGGCCAGAUAUUCUGUGGAGUUAGUCAUCUGAUGGAGACCAUAUGAUCAUAACCAAAAGACCUUUGGUUAUUUAAUCAGAAAGACAUUAUUCUCUCUUCCUAAUGAAGUUCUUUUAGUUUCUCCCAGAUGGUAAUUUCUUUGGCGACAUGAUGUUGCAUUUUGAUAGAAAAUGUGGCCCCAGAAACGACAUCCAUACUUGUGACAUGAUGCAAAAUAGUCUUCAACCUAUGUGCUAUAAAAUAGUAAUCUGGAGAUUAAGUCAGUUUGUGGCAACUCAAAGCCUACAAAUGCCCACUUUGUUUUGCAAAUUGCAAGGCUGUGUGCCACCAUGUCGGAAGAUGAUGAUAACCAGACUUCUAUUGUGACCCCAUUGAAGUCAGUGUAGCUCAAUGAAAAUCAUGUGAUCUGGUCUCUGGGAAGAUGGAUCUGUCCAUGAUGAAAUGUCUGGAUGACGGAAUAAUAUGGGUGUCAAACCUUGUGGUGGGUGCAAUGGAUGGGUGAUUGAUGCUGAGCAAGAAUGAGACAUCACCUCUUGGUCACGCAGCCUGUUGUUAACGAUGUCAUAUUUAUCAGCAAAAUCCAAGGAUCACAUCAUUCAAAUACAUUAUUUGAGUUCUUUUCUGCACAGCUCAAGCAUGCGAGAAGCAGCACCAGGCUUUGCAGAGUUGGUUGGGUUGGAUGAAGCCUUAGUCCUGUAGCAAUGCGAACAAUGGCUAUGAUUGGACAACCCAAGAAAACUACGAAGGAGAGGAUUGAUCUUGAGUGCUACAGCACAUGAAGUUCUGGAUCAAAGAAAUGUGCCAUCAUCUAUUUGAUGAGUGAAGAAAACAUAGAGCCAACUGGUUGCCAAAGCAAUUGUUUGGUUGUUGUCUAGGCAACAAAGCUCAGUGCCAAGAGCAAUUAUUUGGAUGCUGUGCAGGUAAUGUUACUAGGUGGAAAAAUUUUGACCUUUGCAUCCAACAGUAGAAGGCAGGACUGCUGGCAUGGGCCCUCUUGUCAGCAAGGAAGGCUUCCCCCCUCGUGUCCCCACUGCUUCUUGUGGUCCUAUUGGAAAACUGGGCAUACAACUCGAUCAUGACUACAUAUCCAUUAGUACAUGGAUCUUCUGAACCAGCCAUGCGAUUGGAUAGUUGGGCGGUGCCUAUUUGUGGCAGGGAGAGGAUGAUUCCCAGUAUGGAUAGCUCAAGACUAUUUUACCAGGUGCCAGUUGAGGUCAUGCCAUGGCGGGCAAAUCACUAUCCAAGGGUGCUGCUGUUCAUGUGGAAUCAAUCACAUUGCCGUGAUGUUAAAAAAGAACCCAUGCUCGUUACACUUGUUUGGUCGUGCCU